rnacentral:rRNA from 1 species
AGCGAACGCUGGCGGCAGGCUUAACACAUGCAAGUCGAGCGGGCACUUUCGGGUGUCCGCGGCGGACGGGUGAGUAACGCGUGGGAACGUGCCCCCUGGUUCGGAAUAACUCAGGGAAACUUGAGCUAAUACCGGAUACGCCCUUUUGGGGAAAGGCUUGCUGCCGGAGGAUCGGCCCGCGUCUGAUUAGCUAGUUGGUGAGGUAACGGCUCACCAAGGCGACGAUCAGUAGCUGGUCUGAGAGGAUGAUCAGCCACACUGGGACUGAGACACGGCCCAGACUCCUACGGGAGGCAGCAGUGGGGAAUAUUGGACAAUGGGCGCAAGCCUGAUCCAGCCAUGCCGCGUGAGUGAUGAAGGCCUUAGGGUUGUAAAGCUCUUUUAUCCGGGACGAUAAUGACGGUACCGGAGGAAUAAGCCCCGGCUAACUUCGUG